GGUCAAGUUAUUAAGGGUGCAGGGCGGAUGCCUUGGCACUAGGAGCCGAUGAAGGACGUGAUAAGCUGCGAUAAGCUUCGGGGAGUUGCACGUAAACUUUGAUCCGAAGAUUUCCGAAUGAGGAAACUCACUUAGAGUAAUGUCUAAGUAUCAUUAAGUGAAUACAUAGCUUAAUGAGGGGAACUCAGGGAACUGAAACAUCUAAGUACCUGAAGGAAGAGAAAGAAAUUCGAUUCCGUAAGUAGCGGCGAGCGAACGCGGAUUAGCCCAAACCAAUAAAGUUUUCUUUAUUGGGGUUGCGGACAUAUCAUAACGAAGAGGUAUCGUAAUUGAAGAGGUUUGGAAAGACCCACCACAGAAGGUAAUAGUCCUGUAUGUUAAACGAGAAGACUUCAGAUAUGAUCCAGAGUACCACGGGACACGUGAAACCCUGUGGGAAGCAGGAGGGACCACCCUCCAAGGCUAAAUACUACCUAGUGACCGAUAGCGUAUAGUACCGUGAGGGAAAGGUGAAAAGAACCCCGGGAGGGGAGUGAAAUAGAACCUGAAACCCUGCACUUACAAGCUGUGGAAGCACAUUUCUUGUGUGACCGCGUACUUUUUGUAGAACGGGCCAACGAGUUACGUUAAGUAGCAAGGUUAAGCACUUAAGGUGUGGAGCCGUAGCGAAAGCGAGUUUUAACUGAGCGUUCAGUUACUUGACGUAGACCCGAAACCGGGCGACCUACCCAUGAGCAGGAUGAAGCGAAAGUAAAAUUUCGUGGAGGUCCGAACCCACGAGCGUUGAAAAGCUCGGGGAUGACUUGUGGGUAGCGGUGAAAUUCCAAUCGAGCCCGGAGAUAGCUGGUUCUCCCCGAAAUAGCUUUAGGGCUAGCCUCAAGGUGAGAGAUACGGAGGUAGAGCACUGAAUGUCCUAUGGGGUAUUGCACCUACCGAAGACUAUCAAACUCCGAAUGCCGUCAUCUUAUACUUGGGAGUCAGACUGUGGGUGAUAAGAUUCAUAGUCGAAAGGGCAACAGCCCAGAUCGUCAGCUAAGGUCCCUAAAUGUAAGUUAAGUGGUAAAGGAUGUGGGAUUGCACAGACAACCAGGAUGUUGGCUUAGAAGCAGCCACUCAUUCAAAGAGUGCGUAAUAGCUCACUGGUCGAGUGAUCCUGCGCCGAAGAUUUCCGGGGCUAAAACUUACUACCGAAGCUACGGCAUCAGUAAUGAUGGGUAGGGGAGCUUCCCAUACGGGUUGAAGCAUGACCGUAAGGACAUGUGGACAGUAUGGGAGUGAGAAUGUUGGCAUGAGUAGCGAGAUGUGGGUGAGAAUCCCACAGGCCGUAAACCCAAGGUUUCCAGGGGAAGGUUCGUCCGCCCUGGGUUAGUCGGGACCUAAGCUGAGGCCGAAAGGCGUAGGUGAUGGACAACAGGUUGAUAUUCCUGUACUACCGAUAACCGUUUGAGAGAAGGGAUGACACAGUAGGAUAAGCUAAGCACACUGUUGGUUAUGUGUGCCCAAGCAUUGAGGCAGUCAAAGUAGGCAAAUCCGCUUUGAUAAUGCUGGGAUGUGAUGGGGAGCGAAAUUUAGUAGCGAAGUAGCUGAUUUCACACUGUCAAGAAAAGUCUCUAUCGAGGUUAAAGGUACCCGUACCGCAAACCGACACAGGUGGGUGAGGAGAGUAUCCUAAGGCCAGCGAGAGAACUGUUGUUAAGGAACUCGGCAAAAUGACCCCGUAACUUAGGGAUAAGGGGUGCCACCAUCAGGUGGCCGCAGAGAAUAGGCCCAAGCGACUGUUUACCAAAAACAUAGGUUUCUGCUAAGUCGCAAGACGAUGUAUAGGAGCUGACGCCUGCCCGGUGCUGGAAGGUUAAGGGGAUCUGUUAGAGCAAUCGAAGCAGUGAACUUAAGCCCCAGUAAACGGCGGCCGUAACUAUAACGGUCCUAAGGUAGCGAAAUUCCUUGUCGGGUAAGUUCCGACCCGCACGAAAGGCGUAACGAUUUGGGCACUGUCUCAACAACAGACUCGGUGAAAUUGUAAUUCCGGUGAAGAUGCCGGAUACCUGCGACAGGACGGAAAGACCCCAUGGAGCUUUACUGUAGCUUGACAUUGGGUUUUGGUACUACAUGUACAGGAUAGGUGGGAGGCUUUGAAACCAGGACGCCAGUUUUGGCGGAGCCAUCCUUGGGAUACCACCCUUGUAGUACUGGGACUCUAACCAUAGGCCAUGAAUCUGGUCUUGGGACACUGUCAGGUGGGCAGUUUGACUGGGGCGGUCGCCUCCCAAAAGGUAACGGAGGCGCUCAAAGGUUCUCUCAGUACGGUCGGAAAUCGUACGUAGAGUGUAAAGGCAAAAGAGAGCUUGAUUGCAAGACAUACAGGUCGAGCAAGGAUGAAAAUCGGACUUAGUGAUCCGGUGGUUCUGCGUGGAAGGGCCAUCGCUCAACGGAUAAAAGCUACCCUGGGGAUAACAGGCUUAUCUCCCCCAAGAGUCCACAUCGACGGGGAGGUUUGGCACCUCGAUGUCGGCUCAUCACAUCCUGGGGCUGUAGUAGGUCCCAAGGGUUGGGCUGUUCGCCCAUUAAAGUGGUACGCGAGCUGGGUUCAGAACGUCGUGAGACAGUUCGGUCCCUAUCCGUCGCAGGCGUAGGAAAUUUGAGAAGACCUGUCCUUAGUACGAGAGGACCGGGAUGGACGUACCUCUGGUGUACCAGUUGUUCUGCCAAGGGCAUGGCUGGGUAGCUAUGUACGGAAUGGAUAAGCGCUGAAAGCAUCUAAGCGCGAAGCCAACUUCAAGAUAAGAUUUCCCACCGUAAGGGUAAGACCCCAGAAAGACUAUCUGGUUGAUAGGUCGAAGGUGUAAGUGCAGCAAUGUAUUUAGCUUAUCGAUACUAAUAGGUCGAGGACUUGACCAA
rnacentral:rRNA from 1 species